GACGCUGUGCCCUGGAACCAGCCAGGGUACCUCAAACUCUCCCUACACUUGGUGUCUCUCCUGCCUCUGUUUUCUCUCUCUCUCUCUUUUUUUUUUCUGGUUUCUAUUGGGCCCAUCUGGAUAAUCCAGGAUUAUCUUUCUAUUUUAAGAUCAGCAGAUUAGUGGCUUAAUUACACCCACAAAGCCCCUCGAAGCAACAGUGCCUAGAUUUGUGUUAGAAUCACCAGGGCGGCCUGGGAGGCUUCUUUAGAUGUCCUGCAUGGAGGCAUCGGCAGCAUCUGGUGCCCCCAGCUUCUUGCUGCGGUCUUAAAGGCAGCUGAUUCCACCUUUAAAACGUAUCCAGAGUCCAGCCACAGCCGACCACCUCCCUGGCCACCUCAUGGCCUUCCCGCCUCGUGCUUCUUCUGGGUUGCCCUUCAUCAGGUGCCCAACUCAUUAAAAAUAAAAGCCACGAUCUGGCCCUGUGUUCUCUCCCCGACCUCACCUGCCCUCCCAGGCUCCCUUCACCCCAGGCACACCCGGCCUUCUUUUUGUUCCUUGAGCAGGCAGGGCCUGUCCCAACCCCAGGGCCUUUGCACAGGCUCUUCUCUCUUACUCCAGUUAUCUGGUGUGGAAUGAGAUAGAAUGGUGUUACUCUGGUUCAGACCUCUAAAAUGUGGUUGAGAAGCCAUCCUUCGAAGGACUACCUGCACGGCCGCAACCCUGCCAAACAAGAGCUUGCUUGAACCUUCGCAUUGGGUCCCACGGACACAACCGUAACAUCCUGGAGAAUUUGCCGGCGCUGCGACUCCUGAACAGUGACAACCAAUGAACUGUGGACUCAUGUACUAUGCCAGCUGCUUGCGCCAAUGGCAAUUCUUUCAAAACAACUUGUGUAAUCACCCUCAGCAUCCUUUUCAAAACCCCUACUCCCCUUCCUCUCCCGAGAGCACAGUUUGGUUUCUA
rnacentral:lncRNA from 13 species